CGCCUCCUGACUUAACCAUAGGAGGUCCAGCCUGCCCAAUGAAUAUUGAAUGGCCGCGGUACUCUUACCGUGCGAAGGUAGCAUAAUCACUUGUUCAUUAAAUGUGGACUAGUAUGAACGGCACCACGAGGGUUACACUGUCUCCCUACUCUAAUCAAUGAAACUAUUCUUCCCGUGAAGAAACGGGAAUUUUUACAUAAGACGAGAAGACCCCAUGGAGCUUAAAACCCAGAACAUCUACCUAUUUCUUUUUUCAACCAAAUAUACAGUACUAUGUCCCUGGUUUUUGGUUGGGGCAACCACGGAGAAAAUAAUAACCUCCAUGAUGAAUAAACUAUACUUUUACCUAAGAACCACAUUUCUAAAGAUCAUUAAUAUGACAUUUCUUGACCCAAGUUUACUUGAUCAACGAACCUAGUUACCCUGGGGAUAACAGCGCAAUCCAUUUCAAGAGCCCAUAUCGACAAAUGGGUUUACGACCUCGAUGUUGGAUCAGGGUAUCCCAGUGGUGCAACCGCUACUAAAGGUUUGUUUGUUCAACAAUUAAUAACCCU
rnacentral:rRNA from 1 species